UCCGGGAUGAUAAGUGAUCAGCAAAAGUGGAGGGGGCAAAAUGGAAAGCUGCAUGCCCCUAUUCUCUCGCGUCUCGCCUCGCCGCCGCCACCACCAGCCAUGGCGCCGCCCCACUCCUGCGGUGAGCCACCCUCAAACGGUCAAACCCUACCCGUCACCCGCCUAAUCGCGUGCUACCACGUACCGCUAGCACCUAGCCCGCUCCUCCACCUGCAGGUCCCAGCGCGCUGGAGCGGCGGCGGGGCCGACGGCGGCCUCCAGCAGCUCUUCAGGCGCACGUGCGCGCGCGGCGCCCUUCGCCCGCAGCCUCCCACCCUACCCACGCACCCCUUGUUGCAUCUCGGGACAGCUCACGCGCUACACACCGAGAAGGGCGGCCCCAUGGGAUGUGGUGGAGGCCGUGAAGAGCAGCGGUGCCGCGGCGCUGCAGGUCGCCGUGGGCAGCGGGGGGAUGGCGGUGCGCGCGCACCUGGUCGAGGAGCUGCGCUUGGACGUCAACGCGUCCGAUAAGUCAGCUUGGUCACCUUCCAAUAGAAAUUGCUGCAUAUACCAAUAGACGGAAAGAUGUUGAGAUCCUACUUCCAGUAACCUGACAUAUUCCAUUUGUGCGUGAUUGGAGCGAUGAUGGGAUAAUCAGUUAUGUGAAAUCAAUGCUAUGGGUGGAGGUAUGGGUGGAGGAUAACUUGGUGAAACCUACUGAAAGUUAGAAGGAAGCAGAGCAUACAAGAGAAAAGAUUAUCUUAUUGCACAAUGUCUCUAGUAAGAAUUGGGUAGUACUAGAAGCUGGGUUGUGCUUUUGCGAGCCAUUCUAUCAAGAUAUUUUGAUUAUUCUGGGUCAAAUAUCAGGGCAUAGUCUUUAACUUAAUCGAAUUGUAUUGGACAAGGGAGGGAAGCGAUUCAGGGACAGGUUUGUGCUUUCUUCUUGAACAUAUGGGAUAUG